UACGAAGGGGGCUAGCGUUGCUCGGAAUCACUGGGCGUAAAGGGUGCGUAGGCGGGUCUUAAGUCAGGGGUGAAAUCCUGGAGCUCAACUCCAGAACUGCCUUUGAUACUGAGGGUCUUGAGUCCGGGAGAGGUGAGUGGAACUGCGAGUGUAGAGGUGAAAUUCGUAGAUAUUCGCAAGAACACCAGUGGCGAAGGCGGCUCACUGGCCCGGUACUGACGCUGAGGCACGAAAGCGUGGGGAG
rnacentral:rRNA from 1 species